GUGCUCUCGUGGCGACCAGACCUACAAGAAGCACCCUUCUGCAGAAGCAAAUUUGCCUUGCUGAGAGAUCCUUUGUCUCAGUGCUGGUUCUUCUUUGCAGCACUGAGCAUUUGUUUCCAACAAAUUUGGUGGCCCAUAUGGGGACCUCAUUCUCCUCCGGGAAAGGGUCUCUGAUCACUUCUCAUGAGGAGACGCAUCCCGCUAACUCAUUGCAGUGGCCUCAAGGGUAAAGAAUCGGGACCCACCCAGUGCAACCAAUAAACCCAGACUCUUAGCAACACAGGAAGAAAAGGCCUACAGUUACUGUGGUGAGCAGGUAACGCUAUGCACAGACCAAGGUCUCUUAGCACAGGUGCUGCCCCUGGAAUUCCCAGAACAUCAACAUCAGCUCCCGUCCUCAUCAAAGGGUGGAAAAAAGGAAAGCUUGAACCAGCUUGGGAAGGACCUUAUCUAGUGCUCCUGGCCACUGAAACUGCAUCCGAACAGCAAAAAAAGGAUGAACUCAUCAUACUCGAGUGAAAAAACAUCACCACCUCCGGAGUCACGGGCUACUGUUCCAGGGGAAAGUGCUACCUAACUAAAGCUAAGAAAAACCCAACCCUCCUCAUGAAGAGGAGACCCUGAAGGAUCUCCAAAACCAAAGAAAGUUAGCCUCUAUCAAUAAGUACCUUUGCCCCUCCAAAAUAAACAAAACUGCCUAUAAUAAUAAAACUUGUACCAGAUGUGCACAAA